UUUUUUUAAAAAAACAACCUUGGAGAUGAAUUUCAUCCUAAUGAAUCUCGCGAAGAGAAUAAAUUUAGUCCUGCUUUUUGUGACUGUGGUUAGAAAAGUGCGGAUAAGAGUUUUUUAUAGCAUUUUAGUGCUAGUAAAUGGUGCAUCUGUUGGUUGAGAAAGGAGAAUAGAAAAGAAAGAACAUGAUCUUGGAGGAAAAUUCUACAAUAGUAGUAAUAGAAGCUGGUUGUCAAGGAGAUAUUGAAAUCGCAAUGAUGGAAGCUGAACAAUGGACGACGUCUCUUUCUCGAUAGAACGAUCCGCACUCAAAGACUUCUGCAGCUAACAUUUCAUUUCUUGUGACACUUUGAAUGGUCAAUAGACUAAAUGAUAGUGGUGUGAUGGAGAUUACGAGCACCUAAACCACCAGAAAAGCACAAAAGCAGGGAGUCCAAGUCCCAUGCCGACCAGACAUCAUCAUCGCUUCCAAUUCGAGAACCACCACCUUAUAAACAAUGAAGCA
rnacentral:lncRNA from 1 species